GGACGGGAGCCGCUCCCGGGCGGCACACAGCCGAGUCCCUCCUCCCCUCCCCGCAGGCAGCCUGUGCCUUUUCUCCAAACGAAGACAGCACUUUGAAAAUUCUUUCAAUGGAUUUUUUUUUCCUUGAAAGAUCGUACUGGGGGAAAAUGAUACUUCUAUUAGUUACAUAUUCUCCAAUCGCAUACUCGCACCCCCCUCGUUUUGAGAUCGCUCCCCUAGGCAGGCUCAGGCGGGCGCGGAGCCGCGCGGAGUGACAAAGCCGCCGCUGCCGCCGCCGGGGGUGGGAGCCGCGCUCGCCCGCCCGCCCCUCGACUCGCGAGGGCGUAAAAGUUUGUCUCAGCUCGAGCAUUCCUAGCGCCAACACGCCCUCAGGUAAAGGUGGAAGUAAAUGGCCACGCUGUAUUGACAGAGCAGGUAGAUGAAACUCAAGAGAAAAGGUGUGGAUAAAUGAAACUAGCCCAUGAUGAACCUGUUUUCUCCGUGACCACAAUAUUAACCAGGAUGAAUGGCGGUGGCAGUGGGCCUGCAUCACAGGUUGCAGCAGAUGUUCUCAAUAUUUCUAUUAAAAUUUCCUUAUUUCCAUAUGCAAGAGGAGCCCCAGAGCUGCAUCCUUAUGGUAGCUACCAUGCCGUGAUGUAAGCUGCCAUUCACUGGGGAGCUUUGGCAAUAGAAUUGGCUAGAUCAGGAAGCCUAUGUCAACUAUGGAACAACAACUUGCAGCUCAUCUCUAUUGAUGAUGGAAUCUCGCUAUGUCACCAGGCUGGAGUGCAGUGGCGCAACCUCGGCUCAGCGCAACAUCCGCCUCCCGGGUUCAAGUGAUUCUCCUACCUCAGCCUCCUGAGUAGCUGGGAUUACAGGAAUCUAAUGACCAUUGAACUGUGGCCAUGACUUCAAUUACAAAUACACUGCCUCUAGGACUGGGACAGAUAGCCACUGAGUACCUGCUUCAAAUCACCCUGCACGUUUUCUCUUUGGAAAGAUAAGCACUGGAGAACCAUCUCGUUACCUUCAGCAGAAAUGGAAACAAAUCAAGACAUUAAGAAUGCCGCAGUGGACAGCAGUUAUGCAAGGUUCAGCAGAGGAAGUUUUCAAGAUGGUGUGCCUCACUAGCCAGAAAUCAGAAAAGAUCGAAGCUAGCCUUUUCAUCUCAGCUGCUCCUUAAAUCAGUGCAACCCCUCCAAAUUAAUGUGAAUUGAAACUUGCAUUGCUUUUCAACUUAAUUGAAUACUUACUAUAUGUGAACCACUGCACAAAAUAGGGGAAGAAGAUGUGGGAGACAAAGAUGUGGAGCCUGUCUUCAAUAAAUUUACAGUUAGUUUCAGGGUACAUUGUUUUUCUUCUGCUGUUAAUUAGGUGUAUCCCCAAGACAAUAAAUACAUGAAUGGAAAAGUAUAUUCUGUGUUUUAAGUCUCUUUAAUAAAAAACAAAACAAAAUCCAAAAAAACUCCUAACAUGGCAACUCAGGACAUUUUAAUCCUUUUUUUUGUUGUUGGGCUUCUGAUAGGAUCCAUUUUAUUGAUUCCAUAAAUAUUUAGUAGACUUUAGACAUAUUAAUACAUUGUAGUUUGAGUUAAUUUGCAUUAAAUUCUGUUUUUUUCCCCUUAGGUAUAGAUUGUCUGUUGGAAAAAUAUAUUGCUUGUGGAUUUCUUGGGGAGUGGGAAGGUGAAUUAUACCUGUUGUCUCUACAGUCCACUACCUUCCACACCCUAGGGCAGUGGUCCCCAACCUUCUUGGCACCAGGGAUCAGUUUCCUGGAAGACAAUUUUUCUGUGGAUGGUGUGGGGAUGGUUUUGGGAUGGAACUGUUCCACCUCAGAUCAUCAGGCAUUAGUUAGGCUCUCAUAACGAGUGCGCAGCCUAGAUCCCUCACAUGCACAGUUCACAGUAGGGUUUGCGCUGCUAUGAGAAUCUAAGGCUGCCACUGAUCUGACAGGAGGCAGAACUCAGGUGGCAAUGCUUACUGGCCCACUGCUCACCUCUUGCUGUGCGGCCUGGUUCCUAAUAGGCCAUGGACCCCCACAGACGGGUACUAGUCUGCAGCCUGUGGACCCCAGCCCUAGGGGCCUGCCAUUCUGAGUGAGUUAUUAGCAUGAAGAAGAGGAAGAUCUGGAUCAAACGUGGGUGAUGGUACUCAGAGACCCAAGAUAGGAUAGGGAUGGAACAAAAUCCAUCUGGGCAACGGCUCUAUGAAAAUUUGGCUAAGUAAUUAUUUCAGUAUUCAUUGUAUUCAUUGUCCUUCGUGUUCCAUAAGUUAAAUGACUGUCUAAUUUUUCCAAAAAUUUAUUUCUGACUUGAGAAUAAGUGUGUCAUGAUUUUCCCAGUGUAAAGACACUGAUAUAACUGUAGAUACCAGACAUUUUAUGUAGUGUCUAUGACACAUUUUAGUAUGUAUGAGCCAACAAUAGACAUGUCUUUGUCUUGAGGAGUGUCCAUCUGAAUUGAAAAUGUGUCAGCUUUUUUUUAACAUCAUCAACAGACUUCUUAAUUAAGCUGCCAAUACAUACUGCCAAUAGCACUGUGUGCUGUCUGAGAAAUGCAU
rnacentral:lncRNA from 1 species